AUGGAUACAAAAGUGCUCGAAUGCUAGUUUGAAGUCUGGAAUGUAUGGCCGCCACUUGGGAUUAAUCAAUUUGCGGCCGAUAAGUGAGAAGAGAAAGAGUAGUUGCUCGGAGGCUGGUAGAACUAAUGGACCCAUGGUGGUGAUGUUGGACUUGAGUGCCUCUCCUGCAAUGGCCAUUAGGUCCUUAGAGAGGGAUAUCCCGCAAUGGCCUUCUUGGUCCUCCUCCUGAUACACGCAGUGGUAGGCUUUAUCGUCUGCGCCUUUGUUGGUGCGGACUACAUGGAGAAGGCGAUAUUUUGCACGUCUGCGCUCAAGACGGCGGUUGGAGAGAAGUAUGGCGGCGGCGCCCAUGCGAAAGAGGCAGUUGGGGAGGAGCAUGGCGCGUUCGGAGCCUUUGUAGAAGUUGGGAGUGAUGAUUUCGGUGGAGAUGACGAGUGCAUUAGAGUUCCGGUGGACCUGAAGUAGGUCGCGUGCGAGGUCAAUGGAGAUAAGACCCGCGCUACACCCCAUGCCCGAGAGGUUAAAGCUACGAAUGUUGCUCCGUAGCUUAUACUUGUUGAUGAUCAUAGCAGAGAG
rnacentral:misc_RNA from 1 species